UAUGUAGGCGGCGCUGUUAGUCGGGUGUGAAAUCCCUCGGCUCAACCGAGGAAUUGCGCCCGAUACUGCAGUGCUUGAGGGAGACAGAGGUAAGCGGAACUGAUGGUGGAGCGGUGAAAUGCGUUGAUAUCAUCAGGAACACCGGUGGCGAAAGCGGCUUACUGGGUCUCUUCUGACGCUGAGAUACAAGCUAGGGAGCGAAGG
rnacentral:rRNA from 1 species